AACAUACUCCCUCCGUUCAGAAAUAGUUGUCACUGAAAUGGAUGUAUCUAGAUGUAUUUUAUUUCUAGAUACAUCCAUUCUGAAGACAAGUAAUUCCGAACGGAGGGAGUAGUUC
rfam:Triticum aestivum genome assembly, contig: Triticum_aestivum_CS42_TGACv1_scaffold_320617_4BL